rnacentral:tRNA from 1 species
AGUCUCGUGGCCUAAUGGAUAAGGCGGUGGUCUACGGAACUAAAGAGUGUAGGUUCGAGUCCCAUCGAGAUCG